AACGACUCUCGGCAACGGAUAUCUCGGCUCUCGCAUCGAUGAAGAACGCAGCAAAAUGCGAUACUUGGUGUGAAUUGCAGAAUCCCGUGAAUCAUCGAGUUUUUGAACGCAAGUUGCGCCCGAAGCCUCCGGCCAAGGGCACGUCUGCCUGGGUGUCACGC
rnacentral:rRNA from 1 species